rnacentral:tRNA from 1 species
GGGUCGAUCGUCCAAGUGGGAGGGCUCCGGUGUCGCAAGCCGGGAAUCGGGGUUCGAAUCCCCGUCGAUCCA